rnacentral:rRNA from 1 species
GAUCCUGACUCAGGAUGAACGCUGGCGGCGUGCUUAACACAUGCAAGUCGAGCGAAGCACUUUGCUUUGAUUUCUUUCGGGAUGAAGAGCUUAGUGACUGAGCGGCGGACGGGUGAGUAACGCGUGGGUAACCUGCCUCAUACAGGGGGAUAACAGUUAGAAAUGACUGCUAAUACCGCAUAAGGCCACAGCACCGCAUGGUGCAGGGGUAAAAACUACCGGUGGUAUGAGAUGGACCCGG